rnacentral:tRNA from 2 species
GGUUUUAUAUUUUAAUUAAAAUAUUAAAUUGCAAAUUUAAAGAUACAUGUUUAUGUUAAAACUU